rnacentral:rRNA from 1 species
GAUGAACGCUGGCGGCGUGCCUAAUACAUGCAAGUCGAGCGAACGGACGAGAAGCUUGCUUCUCUGAUGUUAGCGGCGGACGGGUGAGUAACACGUGGAUAACCUACCUAUAAGACUGGGAUAACUUCGGGAAACCGGAGCUAAUACCGGAUAAUAUUUUGAACCGCAUGGUUCAAAAGUGAAAGACGGUCUUGCUGUCACUUAUAGAUGGAUCCGCGCUGCACUAGCUAGUUGGUAAGGUAACGGCUUACCAAGGCAACGAUGCAUAGCCGACCUGAGAGGGUGAUCGGCCACACUGGAACUGAGACACGGUCCAGACUCCUACGGGAGGCAGCAGUAGGGAAUCUUCCGCAAUGGGCGAAAGCCUGACGGAGCAACGCCGCGUGAGUGAUGAAGGUCUUCGGAUCGUAAAACUCUGUUAUUAGGGAAGAACAUAUGUGUAAGUAACUGUGCACAUCUUGACGGUACCUAAUCAGAAAGCCACGGCUAACUACGUGCCAGCAGCCGCGGUAAUACGUAGGUGGCAAGCGUUAUCCGGAAUUAUUGGGCGUAAAGCGCGCGUAGGCGGUUUUUUAAGUCUGAUGUGAAAGCCCACGGCUCAACCGUGGAGGGUCAUUGGAAACUGGAAAACUUGAGUGCAGAAGAGGAAAGUGGAAUUCCAUGUGUAGCGGUGAAAUGCGCAGAGAUAUGGAGGAACACCAGUGGCGAAGGCGACUUUCUGGUCUGUAACUGACGCUGAUGUGCGAAAGCGUGGGGAUCAAACAGGAUUAGAUACCCUGGUAGUCCACGCCGUAAACGAUGAGUGCUAAGUGUUAGGGGGUUUCCGCCCCUUAGUGCUGCAGCUAACGCAUUAAGCACUCCGCCUGGGGAGUACGACCGCAAGGUUGAAACUCAAAGGAAUUGACGGGGACCCGCACAAGCGGUGGAGCAUGUGGUUUAAUUCGAAGCAACGCGAAGAACCUUACCAAAUCUUGACAUCCUUUGACAACUCUAGAGAUAGAGCUUUCCCCUUCGGGGGACAAAGUGACAGGUGGUGCAUGGUUGUCGUCAGCUCGUGUCGUGAGAUGUUGGGUUAAGUCCCGCAACGAGCGCAACCCUUAAGCUUAGUUGCCAUCAUUAAGUUGGGCACUCUAAGUUGACUGCCGGUGACAAACCGGAGGAAGGUGGGGAUGACGUCAAAUCAUCAUGCCCCUUAUGAUUUGGGCUACACACGUGCUACAAUGGACAAUACAAAGGGCAGCGAAACCGUGAGGUCAAGCAAAUCCCAUAAAGUUGUUCUCAGUUCGGAUUGUAGUCUGCAACUCGACUACAUGAAGCUGGAAUCGCUAGUAAUCGUAGAUCAGCAUGCUACGGUGAAUACGUUCCCGGGUCU